AGUUUGAUCCUGGCUCAGGAUGAACGCUGGCGGCGUGCCUAACACAUGCAAGUCGAGCGAUUCUCUUCGGAGAAGAGCGGCGGACGGGUGAGUAACGCGUGGGUAACCUGCCCUGUACACACGGAUAACAUACCGAAAGGUAUGCUAAUACGAGAUAAUAUGCUUUUAUCGCAUGGUAGAAGUAUCAAAGCUCCGGCGGUACAGGAUGGACCCGCGUCUGAUUAGCUAGUUGGUAAGGUAACGGCUUACCAAGGCGACGAUCAGUAGCCGACCUGAGAGGGUGAUCGGCCACAUUGGAACUGAGACACGGUCCAAACUCCUACGGGAGGCAGCAGUGGGGAAUAUUGCACAAUGGGCGAAAGCCUGAUGCAGCAACGCCGCGUGAGCGAUGAAGGCCUUCGGGUCGUAAAGCUCUGUCCUCAAGGAAGAUAAUGACGGUACUUGAGGAGGAAGCCCCGGCUAACUACGUGCCAGCAGCCGCGGUAAUACGUAGGGGGCUAGCGUUAUCCGGAAUUACUGGGCGUAAAGGGUGCGUAGGUGGUUUCUUAAGUCAGAGGUGAAAGGCUACGGCUCAACCGUAGUAAGCCUUUGAAACUGGGAAACUUGAGUGCAGGAGAGGAGAGUGGAAUUCCUAGUGUAGCGGUGAAAUGCGUAGAUAUUAGGAGGAACACCAGUUGCGAAGGCGGCUCUCUGGACUGUAACUGACACUGAGGCACGAAAGCGUGGGGAGCAAACAGGAUUAGAUACCCUGGUAGUCCACGCCGUAAACGAUGAGUACUAGCUGUCGGAGGUUACCCCCUUCGGUGGCGCAGCUAACGCAUUAAGUACUCCGCCUGGGAAGUACGCUCGCAAGAGUGAAACUCAAAGGAAUUGACG
rnacentral:rRNA from 1 species